AUCUAAAUCUAAAUUAUUCUAAAUCUAGACUUCACUUUCACAUCACAUUCAGUCAUUCACACGAUUAUUGAUACAGACAGUGAAUGAAACGAAUGCAGUGGUUAUACUGAUUAUACUUAAAGUGACGAUACUACUUAUAGAUCUACCAGUUGAUAAACAUCAUCAUCAUAGAUAAUAAUCUACAUCUAUAAUCAUAGUGCCCUUUAUUUAGUCAAUGUAGUCAAGUCAAGAUAGUGGAACGUAAACUCGAAGGUUUAAUACAAUAUGUUAUUAACAAGUAGAACCAUGGCAACCAGUUCUGAUGAUGUACCAGAAUGGCUCAAGGAUCAUACUUAUACUACUUCUACUCUCUGGGCAUCCAUUCAAUAUUUAAUUUAUGUUUGGAAAUGCAAGAAAAAGGCAUGCAUUCCUGAAAAGUCAAUGAUUGGUUGCACCUCUUAAAGGUAAGAUAACUUUCUGUUAUGAGAAAAGAUGAGAUUCUUGGACUCCUGCAUAGCACCACCAGAAAGGAAAAUCCCAUCAUGUUGCAAAAUAAAAGUCUUGGACCAAUUUUAAUUUAAGAUAUAUAUAUUAUGUUGUAAGAUACAUAUUUAUGUAUAUCCUGUCAUUCAGCCAACAGGUUUGGAUUUAGUAUUUCUUUAAAUCUGUUUGAUACUGUACUUGAAAACUAUUAAUCUGAGCCCCAUUAAAACAAGAGGGAGUGCAGUGGAUGAGUGGUAAGGGAAAUUUUACUUUUUUAAAAUUAAAAUAAGAAUCUAACAAAAGUAAACAUAUAAAAUAUGGUGCAUUCUCCUUAAAACUAAAACCUGGUGCAAAGGUUUAAAAUGUUGGCAAAAAAAAAGCAACAUCAAUUGAAUAUUCUUAAUUCCCUUUGCAAAACUUACUGAGAAGAACAUGCAUGUUGUUCCCUCAUAAGUUUCUUGACAGAGGAAAUCUUGUUUAUAUUAGAUUUGAAGUAAGCAAAUUAAGAAAAAAAUUAUAAUCAUUAUUUCAAAUGGUUGUAUCUAAACCUUAUGAAUUAUUUUUCAGUUAUAAGUAUAUUGAAAUGAAUGGAUAAUCAUGAAAUUGUUAAAUAAUUGCUGCUAUCAUUCCAUUGACUAAAGAACCAUAAUUUUUUUUAAAAUUAAUUUUCAAGCAGAGUUCACAUAGAUCUUGAGUGAAAUUUUUCUUUUUUUGACUAAUGCUUCAAUUUUAUUGUAUCAUUAGUUUUUUAUUUUUAUUACCCAGAAUAUUUUAAAAAUGAGUACACUAUUUUCAUGUAAUAAUGUAACUUGGUAUUCACACAUCAAAAUACGCUAUAAUCUUUAGGCCAUAUAGAUUUGUAUAAAUAUAAAUUAACUUGCUUAA